AGCGAACGCUGGCGGCAGGCCUAACACAUGCAAGUCGAACGAACCCCUCGGGGUUAGUGGCGGACGGGUGAGUAACACGUGGGAACGUGCCUUUAGGUUCGGAAUAACUCAGGGAAACUUGUGCUAAUACCGAAUGUGCCCUUCGGGGGAAAGAUUUAUCGCCUUUAGAGCGGCCCGCGUCUGAUUAGCUAGUUGGUGAGGUAAUGGCUCACCAAGGCUACGAUCAGUAGCUGGUCUGAGAGGAUGACCAGCCACAUUGGGACUGAGACACGGCCCAAACUCCUACGGGAGGCAGCAGUGGGGAAUCUUGCGCAUUGGGCGAAAGCCUGACGCAGCCAUGCCGCGUGGAUGAUGAAGGUCUUAGGAUUGUAAAAUCCUUUCACCGGUGAAGAUAAUGACUGUAGCCGGAGAAGAAGCCCCGGCUAACUUCGUGCCAGCCGCCGCCGUAAGAC
rnacentral:rRNA from 1 species